GACGAACGCUGGCGGCGUGCUUAACACAUGCAAGUCGAACGGUGAUGGGAGCUUGCUUCCUGAUCAGUGGCGAACGGGUGAGUAACACGUGAGCAACCUGCCCUUGACUCUGGGAUAACAGUUGGAAACAGCUGCUAAUACCGGAUACGACCUCCGCGGGCAUCUGUGGGGGUGGAAAGCUUCGACGGUCAAGGAUGGGCUCGCGGCCUAUCAGCUUGUUGGUGAGGUAAUGGCUCACCAAGGCGACGACGGGUAGCCGGCCUGAGAGGGCGACCGGCCACACUGGGACUGAGAUACGGCCCAGACUCCUACGGGAGGCAG
rnacentral:rRNA from 1 species